UACGUAGGGUGCAAGCGUUGUCCGGAAUUAUUGGGCGUAAAGAGCUUGUAGGCGGUUUGUCGCGUCUGCUGUGAAAUUUCGGGGCUCAACCCCGAACUUGCAGUGGGUACGGGCAGGCUAGAGUGUGGUAGGGGAGACUGGAAUUCCUGGUGUAGCGGUGAAAUGCGCAGAUAUCAGGAGGAACACCCGUGGCGAAAGCGGCUCUCUGGGACGGUACUGACGCUGAGACGCGAAAGCGUGGGGAGCAAACAGG
rnacentral:rRNA from 1 species